rnacentral:ncRNA from 2 species
UACAUAGUUGAAUGUUUGGGUGAAGCGGAAUAGAUUAUAUUCCAUCGCUUCUUAAAAGGGAAGUUGGUGCAAUUCCAACGCGGUCCCGCCACUGUGAAUGGGAGCAAACUGCAGGAACCACUGUAUGAAAAUACGGGAAGGUGCAGCAAGCAAUGACCAUGAGCCAGGAGACCUGCCUGACAUCUUAAUGACAC